GGCUCAGGAUGAACGCUAGCUACAGGCUUAACACAUGCAAGUCGAGGGGCAGCAUGGUCUUAGCUUGCUAAGGCCGAUGGCGACCGGCGCACGGGUGAGUAACACGUAUCCCAACCUGCCGUCUACUCUUGGACAGCCUUCUGAAAGGAAGAUUAAUACAAGAUGGCAUCAUGAGUCCGCAUGUUCACAUGAUUAAAGGUAUUCCGGUAGACGAUGGGGAUGCGUUCCAUUAGAUAGUAGGCGGGGUAACGGCCCACCUAGUCUUCGAUGGAUAGGGGUUCUGAGAGGAAGGUCCCCCACAUUGGAACUGAGACACGGUCCAAACUCCUACGGGAGGCAGCAGUGGGGAAUAUUGGUCAAUGGGCGAGAGCCUGAACCAGCCAAGUAGCGUGAAGGAUGACUGCCCUAUGGGUUGUAAACUUCUUUUAUAAAGGAAUAAAGUCGGGUAUGGAUACCCGUUUGCAUGUACUUUAUGAAUAAGGAUCGGCUAACUCCGUG
rnacentral:rRNA from 1 species